UACGUAGGGUGCGAGCGUUAAUCGGAAUUACUGGGCGUAAAGCGCACGCAGGUGGCUGAGUCAGUCGAUUGUGAAAGCCCUGGGCUUAACCUGGGAAUUGCAGUCGAUACUACUCAGCUAGAGUAUGGGAGAGGGCAGUGGAAUUCCCGGUGUAGCGGUGAAAUGCGUAGAUAUCGGGAAGAACAUCGGUGGCGAAGGCGCUCUACUGGACCACAACUGACACUCAGGGACGAAAGCUAGGGGAGCGAAUGGG
rnacentral:rRNA from 1 species